CAGUCGCCGCGGUAAUACGUAGGUCCCGAGCGUUGUCCGGAUUUAUUGAGCGUAAAGCGAGCGCAGGCGGUUAGAUAAGUCUGAAGUUAAAGGCUGUGGCUUAACCAUAGUACGCUUUGGAAACUGUUUAACUUGAGUGCAAGAGGGGAGAGUGGAAUUCCAUGUGUAGCGGUGAAAUGCGUAGAUAUAUGGAGGAACACCGGUGGCGAAAGCGGCUCUCUGACUUGUAACUGACGCUGAGGCCCGAAAGCGUGGGGAGCAAACAGGAUUAGAUACCCCUGUAGUCCCUGUCUCUUAUACA
rnacentral:rRNA from 1 species